rnacentral:rRNA from 1 species
UACAGAGGUCCCAAGCGUUUGUUCGGAUUCACUGGGCGUAAAGGGUGCGCAGGUGGCGCUUCAAGUUUGAUGUGAAAGCUUCGGGCUUAACCCGGAAAUGGCAUUGAAUACUGGAGUGCUGGAGGUUUGGAGGGGGGACUGGAAUUCUCGGUGUAGCAGUGAAAUGCGUAGAUAUCGAGAGGAACACCAGUGGCGAAGGCGAGUCCCUGGACAACACCUGACACUGAGGCACGAAAGCUAGGGGGAGCAAACAGG